CUUGCUUUCUUUGCUGGCGACCGGCGUACGGGUGAGUAACACGUAUCCAACCUGCCCUUUACUCGGGGAUAGCCUUUCGAAAGAAAGAUUAAUACCCGAUAGCAUAAUGAUUCCGCAUGGUUUCAUUAUUAAAGGAUUCCGGUAAAGGAUGGGGAUGCGUUCCAUUAGGUUGUUGGUGAGGUAACGGCCCACCAAGCCUUCGAUGGAUAGGGGUUCUGAGAGGAAGGUCCCCCACAUUGGAACUGAGACACGGUCCAA
rnacentral:rRNA from 1 species